CCUACGGGAGGCAGCAGUGGGGAAUAUUGCACAAUGGGCGCAAGCCUGAUGCAGCCAUGCCGCGUGUGUGAAGAAGGCCUUCGGGUUGUAAAGCACUUUCAGCGAGGAGGAAGGUGGUGAACUUAAUACGUUCAUCAAUUGACGUUACUCGCAGAAGAAGCACCGGCUAACUCCGUGCCAGCAGCCGCGGUAAUACGGAGGGUGCAAGCGUUAAUCGGAAUUACUGGGCGUAAAGCGCACGCAGGCGGUUUGUUAAGUCAGAUGUGAAAUCCCCGGGCUCAACCUGGGAACUGCAUUUGACACUGGCAAGCUAGAGUCUCGUAGAGGGAGGUAGAAUUCCAGGUGUAGCGGUGAAUGCGUAGAGAUCUGGAGA
rnacentral:rRNA from 1 species